GGCGAGAUGGCGCAGCGGAAGCGUGGCUCAUAACCCUCAUAACCCCGAGGUCCCAGGAUCGAAACCUGGUCUCGAUA
rnacentral:tRNA from 1 species